AGGAAUAGGAAUGGGGCCACAGCAGAGCCAGACAGAUGUAAUGACAUUUCUAGGAGACUUCUGGGACAGAAGGACAUGCUUCAUGAAAGAAACAUAUCAUCUCACCUGGAACCAGCAGGUGCUUUACUCAACAUGUGUCAUGUCCCAUUAAUUCUCUCUCCACAGUGUCCAUAGUUCAGGGGAGCAAGUCCCCUUCACCAACUAGAUGGGGGAUCUACGCUGCAUGACUCCCACCGGAGGAUAGACCUAGACCAGUCUUCACAAGGGCAAGUGCUGGUUUGCAGGAGGAACAGGCAUAACCACAGAAGCAGAACGCAGGGUUCAAGGUCUCAACUCAAGCUGACCAGCCAAAGAAGUGUUGGCCAUUGUCGAGUAGAUUAAUGUUUCACCUGUACUCAGAUUCAGUGUGGAGCAGAACGCUUCCUGAUUAAGCAAACCAAGGCCCCACUGCAUUUCAUUACAUCCAGAGAAGUCCCCACGGAUGCUUCAGGAGCCCUGACCAGGCGCAAUCUGGACUGUGGAGGGAGCUUGCUAUUCAGUGGGCCUCCCUGUGUUAAGGCCUGAAGACCGCAGGGUAGUGAAGGCCCUAGAGAACAGGGAGUACUGACCACCCGGUCUGACAUGCUACUCAUUCAGUAAUUCAUUCACUUGGUUUAUAGUAAGUAUUUAUGUCAUGCCAAUUUCAUCCCACCCACCGCGCUGGGGAUCACGGCUGAAA